rnacentral:lncRNA from 1 species
UAUUCUUCCUCCCGUAUAUCUUGAAAAUUCUACAGUAACACAAUCGCUUUGAACCGACCGUCCCUAGUGCAAGUAGCAAAGGACUUGGUGGUUGGUAUCCGAGGUCCCAAGUUCGAAUCCUAGUUGAUUCACAUUUCCAGCUAAGUUUAUUUCUAGAUGAAAUAAAUGAAGCUGGUAGCGUGCUAUCUAUUUCUAAAAAAAAAACUCAAUCGCUUUGACCAGAUUACACCAGUU